rnacentral:misc_RNA from 1 species
AACGCACAUUGCGCCCCCUGGUAUUCCGGAGGGCAUGCCUGUUCGAGCGUCAUUUUGACCCUCAAGCUCCGCUUGGUGUUGGGCGACUUGUUCCCCCCUUGGGGGACUCGCCUCAAAGUCAUCGGCGCCGGCGGCUCGGUCCGGAGCGCAGCAGAUUGCCGCUCCCGCACCCGCGGUCCGCCGGCUUCCGCAAGCCGCAGAUCUAAGCAGAAAACUUGACCUCGGAUCAGGCAGGGAUACCCGCUGAACUUAA